rnacentral:rRNA from 1 species
AGGUGCGAUCAUACCAGCACUAAUGCACCGGAUCCCAUCGGAACUCCGAAGUUAAGCGUGCUUGGGCGAGAGAAGUAAUAAGAUGGGCUUAUCACAGGACUUUCACAGA